CGAGGCGGUAGGUUUCCUUCGGGAGACUGAGGAGCGGCGCACGGGUGCGGAACACGUGUGCAACCUGCCUUUAUCAGGGGGAUAGCCUUUCGAAAGGAAGAUUAAUACCCCAUAACAUUUUGAAUGGCAUCAUUUAAAAUUGAAAACUCCGGUGGAUAAAGAUGGGCACGCGCAGGAUUAGAUAGUUGGUAGGGUAACGGCCUACCAAGUCAACGAUCCUUAGGGGGCCUGAGAGGGUGAUCCCCCACACUGGUACUGAGACACGGACCAGACUCCUACGGGAGGCAGCAGUGAGGAAUAUUGGACAAUGGGUGAGAGCCUGAUCCAGCCAUCCCGCGUGAAGGACGACGGCCCUAUGGGUUGUAAACUUCUUUUGUAUAGGGAUAAACCUACUCUCGUGAGAGUAGCUGAAGGUACUAUACGAAUAAGCACCGGCUAACUCCGUGCCAGCAGCCGCGGUAAUACGGAGGGUGCAAGCGUUAUCCGGAUUUAUUGGGUUUAAAGGGUCCGUAGGCUGAUUUGUAAGUCAGUGGUGAAAUCUCACAGCUCAACUGUGAAACUGCCAUUGAUACUGCAAGUCUUGAGUGUUGUUGAAGUAGCUGGAAUAAGUAGUGUAGCGGUGAAAUGCAUAGAUAUUACUUAGAACACCAAUUGCGAAGGCAGGUUACUAAGCAACAACUGACGCUGAUGGACGAAAGCGUGGGGAGCGAACAGGAUUAGAUACCCUGGUAGUCCACGCCGUAAACGAUGCUAACUCGUUUUUGGGUUUUCGGAUUCAGAGACUAAGCGAAAGUGAUAAGUUAGCCACCUGGGGAGUACGGACGCAAGUCUGAAACUCAAACGAAUUGACGG
rnacentral:rRNA from 1 species